GUAUGUUUUAAGGGACCAGUUAUAAAUGGCUGAGGGAGGGCGGAUGCGCGUAUGUGAGUAUGCAUAUGUGAUUGGGAACAUGUGCGUACAUAUGUAUGAUGUGUGGGACAGGGGGUUCAUAUCUUCACCCUGCGGCCGCUACCCGGCAGACCCUCUGCCUUCCCCGCGGGUAUUUCGGGGCACCACCCUGAUCCAGUCACCCUAGUCAACUUCUCAGUGGAUCGCUCAGGUUCAGCACCCACCACCAGCAUCCAACGGAAUCUGCCGGAUUAACGAUCAUCGUCUAGGGGUGCUAUUACCUCCACCCACUCACACUCCUCCACCUUCCGCCAUGAUGCCCUCCCCG
rnacentral:lncRNA from 1 species